ensembl:snRNA U4 U4 spliceosomal RNA
AGCUUUGUGCAGUGGCAGUAUCAUAGCCAAUGAGGUUUAUGCCAGGUGUGAUUAUUGUUAAUUGAAAACUAAAUUAUACACAGAUAAAUAUUACAUUUGUUCAAAAAUGCUAUAACUUAAUCAGUAACUUGA